GUUGAACGCUAGCGGCAGGCCUAACACAUGCAAGUCGAGGGGUAACUAGAGUGAUAGCAAUAUUACUUUGGCUAGACCGGCGCACGGGUGCGUAACACGUAUGCAACCUACCUUAUACUGGGGAAUAACUUCGAGAAAUCGGCGCUAAUACCCCAUAACAUUGCGAAGAGGCAUCUCUUUGCAAUUAAAGCUCCGGCGGUAUAAGAUGGGCAUGCGUCCAAUUAGCUAGUUGGUGAGGUAACGGCUCACCAAGGCUACGAUUGGUAGGGGUUCUGAGAGGAUGAUCCCCCACACUGGUACUGAGACACGGACCAGACUCCUACGGGAGGCAGCAGUGAGGAAUAUUGCGCAAUGGACGAAAGUCUGACGCAGCCAUGCCGCGUGCAGGAUGACGGCCCUAUAGGUUGUAAACUGCUUUUGUACGGGAAUAAACCCUUCUACGUGUAGGAGGCUGAAGGUACCGUAAGAAUAAGCACCGGCUAACUCCGUGCCAGCAGCCGCCGUAA
rnacentral:rRNA from 1 species